GAGUUUGAUCAUGGCUCAGAACGAACGCUGGCGGCAUGCCUAACACAUGCAAGUCGAACGAACCCUUCGGGGUUAGUGGCGCACGGGUGCGUAACGCGUGGGGAUCUGCCCUUUGCUUCGGAAUAACAGUUAGAAAUGACUGCUAAUACCGGAUGAUGUCGCAAGACCAAAGAUUUAUCGGCAAAGGAUGAACCCGCGUAGGAUUAGCUAGUUGGUGGGGUAAAGGCCUACCAAGGCGACGAUCCUUAGCUGGUCUGAGAGGAUGAUCAGCCACACUGGGACUGAGACACGGCCCAGACUCCUACGGGAGGCAGCAGUGGGGAAUAUUGGACAAUGGGCGAAAGCCUGAUCCAGCAAUGCCGCGUGAGUGAUGAAGGCCUUAGGGUUGUAAAGCUCUUUUACCAGGGAUGAUAAUGACAGUACCUGGAGAAUAAGCUCCGGCUAACUCCGUGCCAGCAGCCGCGGUAAUACGGAGGGAGCUAGCGUUGUUCGGAAUUACUGGGCGUAAAGCGCGCGUAGGCGGCGAUUCAAGUCAGAGGUGAAAGCCCGGGGCUCAACCCCGGAACUGCCUUUGAAACUAGGUUGCUAGAAUCUUGGAGAGGUCAGUGGAAUUCCGAGUGUAGAGGUGAAUUCGUAGAUAUUCGG
rnacentral:rRNA from 1 species